rnacentral:rRNA from 1 species
CGUAGGGGGCGAGCGUUGUCCGGAAUUAUUGGGCGUAAAGAGCUCGUAGGCGGUUCGGCAAGUCACGUGUGAAAUCUCCACGCUCAACGUGGAGGCGCCACGUGAGACUGCCGUGACUCGAGUCCGGUAGGGGAGCGUGGAAUUCUCGGUGUAGCGGUGAAAUGCGUAGAUAUCGAGAGGAACACCUGCGGCGAAGGCGGGUUGCUGGGCUGACACUGACGCUGAAACGCGAAAGCUAGGGGAGCGAACGGGAUUAGAUACCCCGGUAGUCCUAGCCUUAAACGAUGAAUGCUUGGUGUCUGGGGUUUUAUAGUCCCCGGGUGCCGUCGCUAACGCUUUAAGCAUUCCGCCUGGGGAGUACGGUCGCAAGACUG